rnacentral:rRNA from 1 species
GUGGGGAAUAUUGGACAAUGGGCGCAAGCCUGAUCCAGCCAUGCCGCGUGAGUGAUGAAGGCCUUAGGGUUGUAAAGCUCUUUCACCGAUGAAGAUAAUGACGGUAGUCGGAGAAGAAGCCCCGGCUAACUUCGUGCCAGCAGCCGCGGUAAUACGAAGGGGGCUAGCGUUGUUCGGAUUUACUGGGCGUAAAGCGCACGUAGGCGGUUUGUUAAGUCAGGGGUGAAAUCCCGGAGCUCAACUCCGGAACUGCCUUUGAUACUGGCAAGCUAGAGUCCGGAAGAGGUAAGUGGAACUCCUAGUGUAGAGGUGGAAUUCGUAGAUAUUAGGAAGAACACCAGUGGCGAAGGCGGCUUACUGGUCCGGAACUGACGCUGAGGUGCGAAAGCGUGGGGAGCAAACAGGAUUAGAAACCCUUGUAGUCC